ACGAACGCUGGCGGCGUGCUUAACACCUGCAAGUCGAACGGAAAGGCCCUGCUUUUGUGGGGUGCUCGAGUGGCGAACGGGUGAGUAACACGUGAGUAACCUGCCCUUGACUUUGGGAUAACUUCAGGAAACUGGGGCUAAUACCGGAUAGGAGCUCCUGCUGCAUGGUGGGGGUUGGAAAGUUUCGGCGGUUGGGGAUGGACUCGCGGCUUAUCAGCUUGUUGGUGGGGUAGUGGCUUACCACGGCUUUGACGGGUAGCCGGCCUGAGAGGGUGACCGGCCACAUUGGGACUGAGAUACGGCCCAGACUCCUACGGGAGGCAGCAGUGGGGAAUAUUGCACAAUGGGCGGAAGCCUGAUGCAGCAACGCCGCGUGCGGGAUGACGGCCUUCGGGUUGUAAACCGCUUUCGCCUGUGACGAAGCGUGAGUGACGGUAAUGGGUAAAGAAGCACCGGCUAACUACGUG
rnacentral:rRNA from 1 species